UAAUGGCAGUGAAACAACCAAAAAUCAGGAAAGGAGAGAAAAGAAAGGAUGUAGAAGACCCCUGAAGUGACUAGUCAGUCCCAAUGUACUGAACAUCAACCCUGGUACAUUUAUCUGGUACAAAUCAGAAGUUUUCAUCAUGUUCUAAAACCUCAAACAACUCAAGUGAGUCUGGACCUGGUGGAACAAUUUCCCUGGACGGUAAUGGAUGAUUUGCCAGCCUCUCCCAGAAUGUGCUGUGGCUUUAUUAUCUGAAACCAAGGCACUGUCUCCCCUCUAGUUGGAACUGAAAAUAGCAGUGGUCUUACUGUUCUAUGCUUUACUGGGUGACAACUGUGCAUGUUUUAGUUGCCACAAGUGCAUGUCCAUCCAUAAAACACAUGGUGACAUUCCUGCGACUCAGAUGACUCCAGAUCAAUUGCCCAUUAUGACUUUUUCCUGUCAAUCCAAAUUUCUUCUCUGAAUUCUAUGCAGAGAAGUGUCAUCCUUAAAGAAGAGUGUUUAUUUAUUAAGUAUUUAUCACAUCUAUCUAGGCGGAAUAGUCAUCUGUUUCAAAUCCUUGAUUUUAAAAUAAACAUUCUCAUUUAAAAAUUU